rnacentral:tRNA from 1 species
UCUAAUAUAGCAGAAAUGUAUGCAUUGAACUUAAAAUUCAAUUAUAAAGAAUAAUCUUUUUUUAGA